CGCUUUCCUAUGUGUAAAAAAUGUAGAGAAGUAGUAUAUAGCUUAUUCAUUUAUGGCGUGUGUGUAGUUAUAUGUAGUUAUUAAGAACAGGAUUCUGUUUUUUUUUCGUGCGACGUGACCGGGUGGGUGUGAGUUUGUUCACGCCUUCCUAUUGUUCGGAAGAAGAAUGGCUUGUGGUUUUGGGCAUGUGCGCGCGUGUUUGCAUACAUGUGUGGGCGUGUCCCCUAUAACCUGAGGUAGCCUCGGAAGAAGAAAAGGCUUGUGGUAGUGCGCGCAUAUGCCCCAAAUAACCCCGGGUAGCUUAGUCAGUCCCCUAACGUUGCGAGAGGAGCAUCAUGGAGGAAGUCUUCGCCGUCAUGAACUUACAACAACAACAGCCCCACGCUGCCGCUGCAACUCUUCAUGCUGACGAUGUUGACGAUCAGAUAAUGGGUCAAGCCGCAUUAGAAGUUGAAGCCAUGGAUAACACAUCCCAAGCUGAAGCCGUGGAUAACACAUCACAUCCCAGAAACGGAGCGGAUGUUGGUGGUGGUGAGGUGGGGGAUGUUCCAGAAACUCCCAAGUCUACCGGUGAACACAUCACGGGCGAGUCAUUGGGCAACAACAACCGCGGCGCGUUGGGAGGUGUCGGUAAAAUGGGGCGGCGCGUGCUGAGAGAGGGGCUUCUGCGACUUCUGAAGGAUGUGAUACCUCCAUUACCAGUGUCUCGUCUGAAGAACGACCCACCGGCCAGCGUAACGCAUAUCCACGGCAACAACAACAGACACGCUUCGGUGAUGGUGUGUCUUGACUCUCCGUCGGGCGCUGAAUCGCGAGAGCGGCGGCGAAGUCGUCUGCAGCAAAAAGAUCAUGAAAUGCGUCAAUCACGACUGGAAAAAAAAAUGCAGCAUAUGGCGGAAGUG